rnacentral:lncRNA from 9 species
UGAGCGCACUGAAAGGGCAGAAUUCGGAUGCAGUCACUGAAAAGAGAAGACCAUUUGUCAUGGAUCUGCCCAUCAGGGUGUACUUACUGCUGAAAGACAGAAAGUAGGGGAGUACCCCACCCCCAUGCCUGAAUCCAGAAGAGGAGAAAGGAAACACCCCACACCUUCACAGAGGCAUGAAAAAGACCUGAACCUGGCUGAACCUGAACGGGAUCCUGAACCUGACUUCGAGAGCCCAGUUACUCUCCCACCAGCCAACUUGGCUCAGACUCAACGGAUGUCAAGUACUAGUCAAAUUGCCCCUCCUUCUCUAUUGGGAAAGGACGGCAUAAGAAGAUAAAGAGAGGCAACAUAACCUGGCAAGAAAAGCGGACACAACCCUUCCUAUGUGGAAACAAGACUCCUAGGAAAAGAGUCUUGAUGAAAGCAAAGGAUUUGGAUUAGUUGCAAUGACAGCCCUCAAGUGCUUUUUAAGAGGGUGGGGGAACAGGAGUCAGGGGCACAAAGGCAGGAAAGGGUGGCAAAUCUGGGUGGGUUCCAGCCCUGACAAGUGACCUGUGCUUUACUAAAGCUCCUGUCCUAGAGGGGAACUAAGCCACAGUCAGGAAACAAAGUUUGACUUGUGAUACAAAGUGUGCAAUUGUGGAGGUCAUUAGGAAAGGGAAGUUUCAACUGAAAUUCGGAUACAUGGGGUUACCACCGGAACUCACAAUAUUUAGGGCAAUAGAGUAAUUCCAAAGCAAUUGCCAGUCCAUAAGCAGAAAUUUCCUAAAGGGUCUCAGUCUCUUUCAGCUGAAAAUUAGCUAUUCCCCAAUCAUCCCAAUACCCACCCCCCCAAAAUGUGGCCCUUUAGGCAAGUUUGCCCUGAAGUUGCAAUUGUGCAAAAAUAUGUCAUUUAUGGAUAAUGAAUCGUGGUAAUUUUCUACAAAGCUAUAGUCCUUCUGCAGGAACUGUUCUCGUGGUAUUAAAAAUCAACUAAGCCCUUACCUUUCAUUUGCAUUUCCUUUUUAGACGUCCCAGAAAGAGAAAAAUUGCAGAAAAUACAUUUCCUGGUACCAAAUCACAAAUUCCAGUUGAGUUCAAGAAGCUGAAAGAAUAGGACCCCUGCUUUCUGAGGGAUGCAAAAACCAGCGGGGGCUCUGCUUCAAAAAGGAAGCAAAGAAUGAAGCAGGCACAGCAAAUAGCAGUUCUGGGCAGGAAGGAAACCCAGUCAAACUCUUGCCAAAAAUUAUUGUAUUAAAUGCUAAAUCCUGCUUUAAGGUGGCAACCAUAAUUUAGUCUUUUUGAAUCCUCUCUUUUAUAAGUAGAGCCUCCUGCUAUGUUCUGAAAAGAAGAAGCAUUUCUGUUUGCAAGAUGAUUGAUUUUUUUUUUUUUUUUGACAAGAGCCAGACUUUAAAACUGGUGUCAAAAGCCAGCCAAGUUAAGAUGAGGGAGAAGAAAGUAAGACUGGUUAUUUUGUCUAAAAAUAAGUCAUUCAAAUUUUUGGUAAAUCAGUGCCACUUUUGCCUGAGAACAAAUUUAGGAAGUCCAGUUCUAUAAGUUUCUCCUGUCUUGUGACUUUUUACCUGCCUCUGGGAGUGCAUGCUUGAAUGGUAUCACCAAUUACUUGGAAUAGUCACAAGCAGCCAGUUAACGGUGUUCUUUUUCAGAGUAACAGAUAGACCCUAGGUCAAGGGAAUGACCUGAAGUGCCAUACGACUGGCUGAGAUUUGCUAGGAGAAUGUAGAAAAGGUUCUUGUUUGAGGGGAGAGAGUUACAGGUGGAGAUGAUGGGGCAGGAGAGGUGGGAUGUUGUGUUUUUAAAACAUUUAGGAGAUCAAAAUAGGUGUGCAGGCUCAGGAGAUCCUUCAGGAAUCCCAGAAGUAUCUACUCUUUGUUGUGGAAGGCUUUAAAAUGACUGAUAAAAUGAAAGUUCACUAUCUUCCCUUCAACAUAUUUUCAAAGCCUUUGGUAAUGAAAACGGUUUCUUCUUUGUCAAUUUCCUAUGCUUAAAAGAAAAUGUAUAAUGCCAUUAGCAUGGGGAUUGUGUAAUCUAAGCCACCAAGCAUUAAAAACACUUGAAAAUGACAUUCAGUUUUGAGACUUAAUUUUGAACAGGUUCUCAGUCUUCCUAAAACAUGAUCUAACGACCAGACACCAUUUCUCUGUGAUGAAGGUUAUAGCCUUGCAAGAAUACACACCAGUUGUUUAAACUUGAGUAUCUCUUUAUUUUAUUAUUUUAUUUUAUUUUUUGGCUGCACCUGUGGCAUGAGGAAGAUCCCAGGCCAGGGACUGAUCCUGCACAACAGCAGUGACCUUAGCCAUAACAGUGACAAUGCUGGAUCCUUAACCCUCUAAGGCACAAGGGACUCCUAGAAUUAAGUAUUUUAAAAGAAAAAAACUGAUGAUUAAGGAGGAAAGAGUUGAGGUUUGGAGAGGGAAUCCAGAAAGAAAUAUCUACAACUGAAAUAAAAGGUGAGAAAUAAAACACAUUCUGGAGAAAACUUAUGGCCAUAGUACCAAGGAUUAUUCUAUGAAAUUACUGUCUUUUUUUUCUAUUUCUCCAUAACUGCAUAGCUCCAUGAGCCCUAAUUAUAUAUCAUAUAGCUUAUUAUAUAUAUCUUAUAUAUCAUAUAGAACAUAGUAAUACUUCUUUUUCCAUUUCUUCCUAUAGCAGAGACCACUGGAAAAAUAUUUUAAAAAAUAAAAUAUCUGCACAUACCCAAGCAAUAUAAUUUGUGUUUUCACAUUCCUCAUUAAGAUCAUAAAAUCCCUUUUUGGGUGGUAAAAUUCAGCAGCUAUAUCCCAAGAAUCUAGAAGAGUUCUCGGCGCAUAGUAACUGCUUGUCUUAACCUGGAGUCCCCAGAGCCUGAGACAAAGGCUUUUUCAACUCUUUGUCUGCUGAAAGAAAUCCCAGAAGAGCAAAAAGGAGGGAAAGGGGUUCUGAGUACAAAUGUUCACGUGACCUCAUAAAACCAUCCUCAACUAUGUGUGGAAAUGGCAGCUCAAAACAAUCCUCUGGGGGAGGAGGAGAGAAGAAUUCCUCCAGUGGCCCCCAUCUCCCACUGGUCUCCCUGCCUUUCUGAGUUGUGCAUGCACAGGUGCUGCACGGGACUCCAGAGUCCCACACCUCCUGGUCAACAGAAAAGCUGUGAGCAGUGAGUGCAGCUAGUUCUCCCUGGGGAAGCUGGUGAGAGCUCACACAGAGGAUGGGAGGUGUACAUACAAGGAGUCUGACAAAGCAUUCAAUGAAUAUUUGCUGAAAGGAUAGUUUUACUCUAAUACUCUCAAUUAUUGAUUGAAGAGGAGUAAAAAGUCAGCAGUAAUUCAUCCUCAUAAUCAUAUGCCAUUUAGUGAAGAAAAGACAUAGGUUCUAACAGACCUUGCUUCAUGGAAGAAUUUUAAUAGUUGCUGAUUUUUGAAAGAUUUUCCCAACUGUCAGCUCGGUCUAACUAGAGCUGUUUAACUGGGGACCAGCAGCAUUGUUUCAGAAAGUCACUAGAUGAUACACCUGACCCUCAACUGUAUAAAAGACAAAUUGUUUCUGGAAGCAUGGGGCAAAUCACACACUUCCAUGAGCAUCACCAGCAGCAAGUACCUUCUGAGUCAGCUUAUGUGGUUCUGCAACUUUGCCGCUGUCACCUGCAAGACUUCGCAUUGACUUAUCCUUCCCUCUCCCCUCAUCCCUUUGUGACCAGUACUCAUCCUUCAAAGCUAAACUGAGGAAUCACUGUUACCAAAAAGCAUCCACAGCCUCUCUCUCUCCCUUCCCCCUUCCAUCUCUUCUUCCCUGUCUCUUUCCCUCCCAUCCUUCAUCCCUCCCACUAAUUUGUGCUGGGUACUUUCAUGUUACUCAAUUUUAUUGCUCUGGUUGCAUCUAUCAUAUUCUAUCUUCACAGCAACUAUUUCACUCACUAGAUUGUCAGCUCUUACAGUACUGGGUUGAGGCACUUCUCUUCUUAGGACCUGACACACAACAGAGGUCCAACAAACUUGAGAUGAAUGAAAGAAUGAGUGAUUGAAUAAUAGAGAAAAUUGCAAAGGACUUCCGGAAGAGAGGGUAGCUGAUGGUUAUAGCAGGCUGAGCCAGGAAAAUAUAGAGAUGCUGGAUGCAGAAGGAAGACAAUAUUCACAGACCCAGAGAGAAGGUAAAUGCUGGUCCAGCUGGGGCCAUGGCCAUAAGGCAGAAAUGCACUUAAUUGACUGUAAAGCAGUGAAUUCUGCAGCUUGGCUGGGACAGGAAGACCUAGAGCAGGUCACAGGGAAUAAAACCAGAGAGGAAAGUGAGAGUCAGGUGGCAGGGGGCACCAAAUGCCGGGCUUAGCAGCUUUACCUUUGUCCUCUAUUUCAAGUUCCCAAAAUAUUUAGAGCAGUAGGCAGUCAACCAAGCAGAGUUUAAAAACAGCUGGUAGAUGUGCAGAAGAGCAACUGGAAGGGUGAAACCAAUCACACUUAGAAGCAAAAAUGACUUUCCUUGUUAAGCUCUGAGCCAAGGAUCAAAGACAAAGUUUGGCUUUGGAAAAAACAAAUUGGGAGGGGUUUAAAAACUAUUUACAAGUUCAGUGACUUCCUGUCCGUAGCUCAGAGUCAGCAUUCUCUAAGACAUGACCCGAACUCCACAGUCUAAUCCCUUCGCCUCCUGCCAAACGGAACCAUUAGCUGUCUUCACACAUAACCUCUGUUGCCUUGUUUCUGGGAAAAUCUUCUUGCCCGAAUACUCUCCUUCCACCGGAUUCCUCCUGUCAAAGUACGACCUGCACUUUAACUCUCUCUUUAAAUGCAAUCUCACCCAUGGUAGAGGCACACAUGACUUCCCCUUGGGCCAUCUGGAGACAAGCUCUCCCCACUUCCGAAUGUGUUGGGGUCAAAGCUAAUGAUCUCUCUCUUGAGUUUUAUAUAUGGAGGAAGAACCAAGUGGGAUGUAAACAAAAACCUGGAUUUUAGUCUGUUCUUGUGUCCUGGGCCCACACAAUCUUUGUUUCCUCACAGGCAAAAUAAAGGGGUUGGAUGAUGUCUUCUCCAAGGUGCCUCACAGCUCAACGCUCCAUGCGACUAAUGUGAGAACUCUGGGUUUGGCAUCUGUAGAUUCAACCUUGUGGACAUGGAACCCACGGAUCUGGAGAGCCAACUGUUCAGCACCCUUUUACCUAAGAGUAAGUGAUAAAGGACCGGGAAGGGAACUGCCCAAUCCUUUACCUAGAGGAUGAGGACCCACAAGAUGAAAGUUCUGACUGCAGGUAACCCCUCCCCCUCACACUCAGGCCCUAGAUAAUGCUGAGAAGAAAGUUGUUUGUCUUUGGUAUAGUUCACUUGUCAGUUUCUGCCAGCAUAUUAUGACUUCCUCAAUGGCCAGUAUUCUCUAACCCAGUCUCUACUAUCAAGAGAAAAAUGUGAAAAACUCUUUCACACUAAAAUAUUAAUAACUCUCCCAGAGGAGCUUUAUUUCAAAAAAGAAUUGCAACCCCCACGUAUCAGUCAUCUGAUCUUUAAAAAAGAGCUAAGGCAAUGUAAUGGAGAAAGGGUAGUCUUUUCAAAAAAUGGUGAUGAAAAAACAAAAUAUGAACAUGCAAAAAAGUGAAUCUAGAUACAGACCGUAAGCCUUUCACAAAAAUUAACUCAAAAUGGCUCCAGACCUAAAUGUAAAACGCAAACUACAAAACUAGAAGAUAACAUAGGAGAAAAAAUCUAUGUGAUCUUGGCGUUUGGCUAUUGACAAUUUAAAACAGUUAUUAAAAAUUUGUCAAUACCAUCUAAUGACAGCCCUUAUUUAAUGAUUAUUAUCUAGUCACUCCAAAAUUAGGGCAAUUACUUUAGUGAUGAUUCAAACACUUAUGGAAGAUAUAUUAAAAG